rnacentral:sRNA from 1 species
UUAUAGCCCCGAUGGGAGCGACAUAUGGCUUGGUUCCCCCUUUGGGGGGUAGGGGGCGGGCCAUAUAUAGCGGACAGCGGGAACUACG